rnacentral:rRNA from 1 species
ACUCCUACGGGAGGCAGCAGUAGGGAAUCUUCCACAAUGGGCGCAAGCCUGAUGGAGCAACACCGCGUGAGUGAAGAAGGGUUUCGGCUCGUAAAGCUCUGUUGUUAAAGAAGAACACGUAUGAGAGUAACUGUUCAUACGUUGACGGUAUUUAACCAGAAAGUCACGGCUAACUACGUGCCAGCAGCCGCGGUAAUACGUAGGUGGCAAGCGUUAUCCGGAUUUAUUGGGCGUAAAGAGAGUGCAGGCGGUUUUCCUAAGUCUGAUGUGAAAGCCUUCGGCUUAACCGGAGAAGUGCAUCGGAAACUGGAUAACUUGAGUGCAGAAGAGGGUAGUGGAACUCCAUGUGUAGCGGUGGAAUGCGUAGAUAUAUGGAAGAACACCAGUGGCGAAGGCGGCUACCUGGUCUGC